GCACGGGCAGGGGUCCACAUGGGGUGGAUCCACCCCUCUUAGUCUUGUCCUGUGGUGGUCCUGAGCCAUGUCUCCCCCAUCUUGUUUGUGCAUCAGGAGAGGGGAAUGUGGGGCCUGUGUGCCAGGUGUCUGCCGUCACUGCCAGCCCAUUGGUCUGGAGACACAGGACCAAUACUUGGAGAUGAACAUCAAAGGAUCAUCUGAGUCCUAAUCCAGCCUGCAACCUGACUUCAACUUCCUCAGUGACAGGAGCAAAAGAGAGAGACGCCCAGGACUUGUAGGAGCUGCAGGAGGACCCUCUCCCUUCCGCAUGAGGAGAGGCAUGAGGGUGUGAACUCUGACCAGCUAGAGUGAUUUUGUAACCACCAGAUAAGAAACUGCAGCUGCUGAGGGGCCACUCUGAGCAGUCCAGGAAUGAAGUCAACACCACAAAAGGCAGACGAGCGAGAUGGUGAGAAACCAGGUCCUGGGGUAUCCUUUGAGGCACUGGACCAAGUCUGACCUGAGGUCUGUCUGACUACUGGACUCUUCAGUUAUGUGAAUGAAUACAUUUUC
rnacentral:lncRNA from 1 species